rnacentral:rRNA from 1 species
CCAACAGGGAUUGCUCUAGUAACGGCGAGUGAAGCAGCAAUAGCUCAAAUUUGAAAUCUGGCGUCUUCGACGUCCGAGUUGUAAUUUGUAGAGGAUGCUUCUGAGUGGCCACCGACCUAAGUUCCUUGGAACAGGACGUCAUAGAGGGUGAGAAUCCCGUAUGCGGUCGGAAAGGCGCUCUAUACGUAGCUCCUUCGACGAGUCGAGUUGUUUGGGAAUGCAGCUCUAAAUGGGAGGUAAAUUUCUUCUAAAGCUAAAUAUUGGCCAGAGACCGAUAGCGCACAAGUAGAGUGAUCGAAAGAUGAAAAGCACUUUGGAAAGAGAGUUAAAAAGCACGUGAAAUUGUUAAAAGGGAAGGGAUUGCAACCAGACUUGCUCGCGGUGUUCCGCCGGUCUUCUGACCGGUCUACUCGCCGCGUUGCAGGCCAGCAUCGUCUGGUGCCGCUGGAUAAGACUUGAGGAAUGUAGCUCCCUCGGGAGUGUUAUAGCCUCUUGUGAUGCAGCGAGCGCCGGGCGAGGUCCGCGCUUCGGCUAGGAUGCUGGCGUAAUGGUCGUAAUCCGCCCGUCUUGAAACACGGACCAAGGAGUCUAACAUCUAUGCGAGUGUUCGGGUGUCAAACCCCUACGCGUAAUGAAAGUGAACGGAGGUGAGAACCGCAAGGUGCAUCAUCGACCGAUCCUGAUGUCUUCCGGAUGGAUUUUGAGUAAAAGCAUAGCUGUUGGGGA